GAUUACAAAUCCAACACAGUGACAGUGACUACAGAUCCAACAAAACCGAACAUGCCCUUAUUAUCAAGGGAUGACGAUUUUGGGGAUUCCUGACACCCUCAAGUAAGGUUAGGUCUGUAUAUGCAUAGCACAAAAUUAGUCAAAAUCAGCACAAAAGCGAGAAAUUAUUAGAAUAAUUAUUUGAUGAAAUUGUACUUACAAACUAGUAUUUUCAAAAGGCCGCCAUAAAUUAAAAUUAUUUGAGAAUUCAAAUAAUAUAUCGGAACGAGUAAACCCCUAAUGUUUAAUUAAAUUAUCAGAAACCUUUUAAUCUGGCAUGUAGUAAGUUUAACGAUCUCAUUAAAUAACUGUAGCAAAGGAUUUGCAUGAAUUAGUAAAUAAAAUUAACUCGAUAUUUCAUAUAUUUUUAUUCGUUGUUAACAGUUGACAUGAAUUUUAUUUAGUACACAUUCAUGGAUUCGUAUUGAAGAUAACAUGAUAUGAAUAUUCGGAUAAGUUUUCAACACAUGAUAUACGAAAUAAAAAUGAUAAUCUUUGUAUAAUGCAUAAUAAAACGAUGUUACAAA